rnacentral:rRNA from 1 species
CAGCCGCCGCGGGAAUACAGAGGGUGCGAGCGUUAAUCGGAUUUACUGGGCGUAAAGCGUGCGUAGGCGGCUUCUUAAGUCGGAUGUGAAAUCCCUGAGCUUAACUUAGGAAUUGCAUUCGAUACUGGGAAGCUAGAGUAUGGGAGAGGAUGGUAGAAUUCCAGGUGUAGCGGUGAAAUGCGUAGAGAUCUGGAGGAAUACCGAUGGCGAAGGCAGCCAUCUGGCCUAAUACUGACGCUGAGGUACGAAAGCAUGGGGAGCAAACAGGAUUAGAUACCCCCGUAGUCCAUGUCUCUUAUAC